UGGACUUGUGUUGUCCUAUGUACUCCUGAGU
rnacentral:piRNA from 1 species